rnacentral:lncRNA from 1 species
UGCACAUUCUGCGCAUGUAUUCCUUGAACGUAAAGUAUAAUGAAAAAAAUAUGCCAUCACUAAUUUAAUGCCUAUUGUUGAGCAUUGAGGUUGCUUUAAAUUUCCCUUGGUUUUAAAAUCACAUUCAUGAACAUCCUUUAUAUAAAUCCUUGACAAUCUCUGAUUGUUUCUUUAGAAUACAUUGCUUAAGGGUGACUUAUUUCAUUAAUGAGCACUAAAGUUUUAAGGAUAGAAAGAUUGUAUCAAUUUACAUUCUCAUCAGCAGAGAAGGAGAAUGUGCAUUAGAAUGUACCUUUACUUUGAUUUAUUUUUAAUCACUAGUGUAAUAAUUUGUUGAUUUUAAAUAAGCAAUUUUAUUAUUUAAAUCAGCAGAAAAUUGUUGAAUAAAAUACUGGAUAAGAAAUGAAAAGAAAAAUCAUCAAAGUAAGACUAAAAAACAACUAAAUUGUUACCAAAUAUGUAAAUAGUUGGUACUGUGAAACAGUAUUCCCUGAUUGCUUUUCCCAUUUGUUCAACUGUUGCUGGCAGUGAUGACGCAACCUUGCAGGGGCUUCCUUGACGCUCCUGGGAACAGGAACACGUGGCUCCUUGAGAGCAGAACUUUCCUGCUUUGCUCCCUUCUGGAUUCGCAACACUAACAUCAUACUUGACAACUGGUAGGCACUCAGGAAGUGUUUCCAUAAGACCUGGAAGACAAGACAUAAUGUGGGGACACAAAGGCAGAUGAAGACUUAUUGCUCAUUCUUCUUUUUUCCACUUCCUGAAAUAGACAGUCCUUCCCUCCUGAUCCAAACCCGAUUCAUUGUGUCAUAUCUAACUAAAAUGGCACCUUUCCUAAGAGUGCUUGUUCUUUGUGACUCCAGGACGUUCUAUCAGCCAUUGUUGUGGAUACCCUUCCCCACACAUUUUAGAGCUCCAAGUACAGCACAGUGAUGGCAUUUCAUGCUCCUUGGAACCUGUGAGGUGGGUGCCACAUCGUCUUCACUUUUUGGAUGUGAAAGCUGAAGCUCAGAGGUCCUGUCACCAGUCUAUGUGUCAAGGUCAUACACAUCAGUUAGUGAACAGCCAGGGUCUGCAGCCUCACUGUCCAGCUUCGGGGGGCUCCACGCGGAAACUCCCUGCAGUUCUCUGUUCUCCGCGGUAACCUCACUCGUGGAUUCCUUUAAGGCCUAUUCUUUUAUCUUCAACUAAACCAUGAAUCCCUUGAUGACAGCUUUUGUCUUGUACUUUUUUUUACAUCUGGAUAGCCACUUCACAAAAGAAUACCUGCAGGAGUCUAUCAUACGUGCACUGAUUGAGAUGGAUCAUGUGAGGAUAUGUAAAACCAGAGACUCAAAAAAUAGCAAACUGAACAUUUAGAUAAGGAAUCAAGGUGAAGAUGGAUAAACAUGCAAGUUUGAAAGAAAGCAGGAACAAGGCAAUCCAACUUGUAUUUUCUGUAAGCUGGCGGCAGAACAUUUAACUGCCAGCUCCUGACAAGGUUUGGAAAACUCAUCAGUGGGAAAGCAGCCAAAACACUGCUCAAGCAUGGGUGGUCACCAGCAGCAAAGGAGGGAAAGCAAGCCAGAAAGAAAGAAGGAAAGAGAGAGUUUUUAUAUAAGUGCUUUCCCAUGAUGUUCUAGCUAUGUGCUUUACUAAAGCAGUGUAACUGUCACCAUCCUGCUGAAAGCUCAAAUUAAGGUGAUGCAAUGAGGAAGCAUUUCAUAUUAAUAACGGCA